rfam:Lupinus angustifolius cultivar Tanjil contig_25005, whole genome shotgun sequence.
AAAGUGUAAUGCAGCCAAGGAUGACUUGCCGGUAAUAGUGUAGGCAAACAAUUGUUGAGGUCCGUGACUCUUUUAUGCUUAACAUCCCCGCCGGCAAGUUGGCCUUGGCUACAUUGAGCUCUUU